rnacentral:rRNA from 1 species
UACGUAGGGUGCAAGCGUUGUCCGGAAUUAUUGGGCGUAAAGAGCUCGUAGGCGGCUUGUUGCGUCGGCUGUGAAAUCCCGGGGCUCAACCCCGGGCCUGCAGUCGAUACGGGCAGGCUAGAGUCCGGCAGGGGAGACUGGAAUUCCUGGUGUAGCGGUGAAAUGCGCAGAUAUCAGGAGGAACACCGGUGGCGAAGGCGGGUCACUGGGCCGAAACUGACGCUAAGGAGCGAAAGCGUGGGGAGCGAACAGG